CUGGGUCUUCUUUUUUUCCCUUCUUGAAAACAGGGAUUAUGUUUCCCCUUUCCCAGUGUCCUGAGACAAGUACUUCUAUGUAUCUUUGAACAUUUUUCUUGGCUUCUGUGUGGUUUCUCUAGUUUUCCAAUGGAAACAGAUUGUUUUACUGAGUAGUUGAAAUGGGAUGUAAGGAGACAACUGAUUUCAGGCAAAAUACGUGAACAUUUUGGACCAAUUAGUUACACCGUGGGAGACAUAAAAGUAAGUUUCUUAACAAGCAGAUAUUAGGGGUUUUGCUCAAGGACAGAGGAAGGAUCAGUGGCAGAGACAGGAAAAGAUGAUGCAUUCUAUGGAUGCAUGACAUUUCUUUUUUUUUCUUUCCCUACUGUUAUUUUGUUAAUUUUGCACUAGUAAAAUAUUCGGCUACCAUACUACAUCACUAUAUAUAUACUUUCUUACUACUAAGUGAGCUACAGCAUCAAGUCCAUUAUUACAGUUAUUCCUCUACUGUUUGUAUUAUGUUACACAUUAUCAUGUUUCAAAAACUGUUUUGCUCACCUGAAUAUUUUCUAUUUUUAUUGUAUAGGAAGAUUAAAUCAGCCUGAAACAUCAAGUUACUUAAUCUCUUUCCUUCAGAAGUAAUUAAACCUUAUCUUCUCUUAGUUAGGAUGUUUAUAGGAUUUCAGUUAAAAAAAUGUCCUCAGUGAACCCAUGUUUUUUCUUCAUAUUGCCUCUGUCACAUCAACAGGGUGACAACUUCCUGAAGCCUCGUGUAAGUGUUAAGCUCUCCAAGGUAGUAAAUUUCAGCUGCUUUUUAUUCAGAACAAAGAAACUCAGAUUCUGGUCAUCCAGAGAUUCAGUAUUUUCCUUCAACAGAUUUAUAAGCAUUCUGCAUUUUCAGGCCACUAAAAUUUUCAGGUCCUUUGCUUAAAAAAGCAGAGGAAUUUACUAGUGGAAUUUCUACUGUUUGUUCCUUAUCCCAUACAUGGUUGAUAUUGUUGUCACCAUGAAUUUAUAUUACUUGAACUUCUUCUUUGAUUUUUAAUUGUGAAAUGUUUUGGAUCAGGUUCCACUUCAGAAAAGUGAAAGCAACAUUUACAGCUAACCUUUACUUUCUGAAUGAGAGGAGGUGAGAAUUCUAGUUGUAUUUUACAUAGAGCGAAUCAGACAAAAAAAUAGAAUUACAUUCUAUAUCCAGGCAGAACACAUUUACUUCAAUGAAUUCUGUAAAAAUAAUUGUUCAGAUUGCGUCAGCUAUAAGGGCAUGAUGAUGACCUACUUCAAUCUAAAAACACCAGCGGUAAUGUAGCAAGGAUUGGAAGCUAGAGAAAGAACUCAAUUCUGAAUACAGCCACAGUGCUAAUUAAAAACUGAAUUGUUUGCAUUUCUGAUUUCCAUUUCAAAUAUGAACUAGUGACCUUGUAUUGAAAUGCCUGAUAUUUCAUACUGCUCUUUUUAGCAAGAUAAAUUUACCACUGUGCUUUUAUUUAAAAGUCUGUCAAGAAUGGGAUGCUCCUCAGCAAUGCCAAGGACCAUACAGAGUAGUCUGCACCAUCCACAGCUAACAGCACAAGAUGCAAAGAGACAGAUUGACCAUAGCUACCUCUCACAUUCAGCAUGAAGUCUUUCAGGUUGUGAUAAAGUCUGACAUAAAACACCUUGCACACAAGGAAAAGCUUUUCACUUUCAGAGGGUAAAAGUUUUCUUUUUCACAGAAACAAAUCAUAGCAGCAUCUUCUUGGCUGUCAGAACAAUGUAGAAGUUCACAAGACACCAAGUAUCUCUUCCACACAUUUAAACUGAGAUGUUUCUAUCUGAUCUUUUUUCUCACAAGGUGUUCUUUCUUUCUGAAAUAUAUCUUGGUAAGAGGCAGUCUGAGUUCAAGUCUAAAAUACUGUCCAAAGUCACCUACUCUCUGUCUGAUGAACUGCAUCUUUGUAUAUACCACUUUAAAAUCAUUUCACUGACAAGGAGGUUGAGAAAUGCAGUGCAGAAGAUGAAGGCUCAUACUAGGCAAAGUAUUACUCCUUCACUUUUGACUUGUGAUAAAGCUCAGAUAGCUUAGCUGAAUGUGGAAUAAAACACACAAAUUU
ensembl:lncRNA